rnacentral:rRNA from 1 species
AUUGAACGCUGGCGGCAGGCUUAACACAUGCAAGUCGAGCGGGGGAAGGUAGCUUGCUACCGGACCUAGCGGCGGACGGGUGAGUAAUGCUUAGGAAUCUGCCUAUUAGUGGGGGACAACAUCUCGAAAGGGAUGCUAAUACCGCAUACGUCCUACGGGAGAAAGCAGGGGAGCUUCGGACCUUGCGCUAAUAGAUGAGCCUAAGUAGGAUUAGCUAGUUGGUGGGGUAAAGGCCUACCAAGGCGACGAUCUGUAGCGGGUCUGAGAGGAUGAUCCGCCACACUGGGACUGAGACACGGCCCAGACUCCUACGGGAGGGAGCAGUGGGGAAUAUUGGACAAUGGGGGGAACCCUGAUCCAGCCAUGCCGCGUGUGUGAAGAAGGCCUUAUGGUUGUAAAGCACUUUAAGCGAGGAGGAGGCUACUUUAGUUAAUACCUAGAGAUAGUGGACGUUACUCGCAGAAUAAGCACCGGCUAACUCUGUGCCAGCCGCCGCAGUAA